rnacentral:rRNA from 1 species
GACGAACGCUGGCGGCGCGCUUAACACAUGCAAGUCGAACGGUAAGGCUCUGCUGCUCUGUGGUGUUCUAGUGGCGAACGGGCGAGUCACACGUGACUCACCUGCCCUCUACUUUGGGAUAAUUUCAGGAACCCGGGGUUACUACCGCAUAAGAGCCCCUCCUGCACGGUGGGGGGUGGAUACUUUCGCCGGUUGGGGGUGGACUGGAGUCUUAUCACCACGUUGGUGGGGUAGAGGCUUACCAACGCUUUGACGUGUCGCCGGCCUGAGAGGGUGACCGGCCUCAUUAGGACUGAGCUACGGACCAGACUCCUACUGGAGGCAGCAGUAGGGAAUAUUGCACAAUGGUCCGAAGUCUAAUACAGCAACCCCGCGUGCGUAAUGUCGGCCUUCGGGUUGUAAACCGCUUUCGCCUGAGACGAAGCCUGAGUGACGGUAAUGGGUAAAGAAGCACCGGCUAACUACGUG